UACGGAAGGUCCGGGCGUUAUCCGGAUUUAUUGGGUUUAAAGGGAGCGUAGGCCGUGGAUUAAGCGUGUUGUGAAAUGUAGACGCUCAACGUCUGACUUGCAGCGCGAACUGGUCCACUUGAGUGUGCACAACGCAGGCGGAAUUCGUCGUGUAGCGGUGAAAUGCUUAGAUAUGACGAAGAACCCCGAUUGCGAAGGCAGCUUGCGGGAGCACGACUGACGCUGAAGCUCGAAAGUGCGGGUAUCGAACAGG
rnacentral:rRNA from 1 species